UCACUUUGGACUUAGCUUCUUUUUUCAUACCGGAUGAAGGGGAAAAACUGGGCUUCAAAGUAACUGUGCUGCUGGGGAUCUCUGUACUUCUGCUCAUCCUAAAUGACAUUCUGCCAUCCAAAUCUCACAGAUGUCCUCUGAUAGCUGUGUAUGUCAUUGUCAUUCUUUUCUUUCAUGCUGCUGAGUCUUCUGGAGACAGUUUUAGUGAUAUACUUGAUAAAUAUGAACUCUGAACAAGAUGCUAAAGGGGUUCAGAGACCUGAAGAUCACAACUCUGACACAGAUAACCGGAAAAGAGACAGGAAUGGAGUUGAAGCUCCCUUUGAGACUCUGAUGUUGAAGGAAAUAUACAGCAAAGAAAAAACGAAUGACGUGCAGCUAUUGCAGCUGAUCCUAGAAGAGCUUCAGAUUAUCAGACAGACUCUUGAUCCUGAUACUUUAAAAGCCAAAACUGCUCAGAUUUACUGGUUAGGAAUUGCCAAAUGUAUUAACAGGGUUUUCUUUGUGGUUUAUCUCAUCUCAGUUUCUCUCUUUCUUGUCUUUAUCUUUCGAGAGUGGAAAGCUGAGUAAUUUCAAAUACUAAAAUUGUGACGAAUGCUUAAAUAAGGGAUCAUUAUUACAUAUAUCGCAUUACAUAACAAUAUUAUGUACAUUUCUUCUUCCUGUUGAAAGCAUUGUAGAAGGAGCUGCAGCAUUUAUUUCAAUUGAUUUUCUGGUGCCUUUCUACAGACAUUCUCUACUGUAAGGCUAAGCCCAUCCAAACGUCUGUUUUGCCCACCCAAUCCGAAUUUAGGUAAAGACUGGGUUAAACUUUUUGUGCAAUGAUUAAAUCAAUCUGGGGCGGAGUGUAUUUUAAAAAGUUUUAAGGAGAGUCGAAGACAGCCCCACUCAAUCAUAAAAUAACACUAAAAAAUUACAACAUUUUUCUUUUAUAGCACCCUGCCAUGCUUCGGAACGCAAGCUUCAGACGAAAAAAGAAGUGAAUGACGUGUUCUCCCGGUGCCUGUUUAUAGUCACACCGGUAGUGACGUCAGAGGCUUUAGCCGGCCAACUCGUUGGUGUUUUUUCAAUGUAUGCUUCAGACACGGGUCACGACGAGGUUUUCCCCAUAGAGACCCCUAGAGGAUGCAGUGUCU
rnacentral:lncRNA from 1 species